UAAAGGAUUUGAUCUUCACAAACCUCAACAAACAUACAACAGGACGCCCACCAGCAGUUUGGCUUCCUCUGUACACAGUCUCAGCAAAUGAUCCCCACAAGUGUCAGGUAACUUGAGUCAGAGACAGGAUCACAUGGAAAUACAUGAGUUCCAUUUGUGAAAGUCAUCUUAUAUAGAUGAGAGGUUGGACGGAAUUGGCCACUGGCAUAAUUGAGAGCAAAGAUCUCAAUGAAAACCCAAUGACCAACAGAUAACACCAACUCUAGAGUUUCACCAGUGCUGGCUGUGUACUGCCGCCAGGAGUGAAGUACCUUCACUUGGACUCUCAAUUGUGUGGUGUAUGGCCUGACAUCUUUGAGGUAAGCAAAUGUUGCAGCAGCCAUUGUUUGAUGGUUUAUGGUAAGAUCUAAUGUUUAGAUUAGAGGCUGUGAGGGCUGAUGAUAAUGAGAGGUUAGACAUGGAACUAUAUAUAGGGUCAUAUAUUAGGUUAAAGAAAACUUGAUCACAAAGCAUAUUGGU